UAACUACUCCCUCCGUCCGAAAAAGCUUGUCCCUCAAAUGGAUGUAUCUAGCACUACGAAAAAGCUUUUCCCUCAAAUGGAUGUAUCUAGCACCAAGUUAGUGCUAGAUACAUCCAUUUGAGGUGAGGGACAAGCUUUUUCGGACGGAGGGAGUAUUAA
rfam:Triticum aestivum genome assembly, contig: Triticum_aestivum_CS42_TGACv1_scaffold_158214_2DL